AUUUCCUUGCUCAGCCAGAGGACUUCAUGAUGACCACUGUGAUAAACCAGAGAGAUUGGACUUCUCCUCUGUCUUCUUGAAUUCUGGAGAAAGGAUGUCCUCAUGACCAGCUUGCUGCCCUAUUGAUUUCCUACAUGACCUUGGGAAAGUCAUUUAACCUCUGUUCUGUAAAAUGGAAAGGAAAUCAGUUGGGAGGCUUGGCCUCCCUGCUGCCAGCACCAGCAUCAAAGCAGGACCCACCAGGACUGAAAGAAGGAAUUUCUCCAGUUUCAGCUUUAAAAAGUCACUAUCUUUUCCUGGAACAGUGGUGGAUUGCCACAGAGGCACUUCUGCAAGAGAAAUACAGCUUCCAUGCUCCCAAAUGCAAACUGAUGCAUCUAUCCCCUGCCUCCAACACUCCAGGAACCACGAGUUUCCUUUGUAUCCAUCACUGAGCACAACCAAGGCUCCUUCAGAAGGCCAGAUCCUGCUCCAAGAGCUCUAUUUUUUUACCAGCUCUGGACUUCACCUAACCCAUUGCCAGUGUGGUCUAAGCUAAACUAUAGCAAAG
ensembl:lncRNA